rnacentral:rRNA from 1 species
UACGUAGGGUGCGAGCGUUAAUCGGAAUUACUGGGCGUAAAGCGUGCGCAGGCGGUUUUGUAAGCCAGAUGUGAAAGCCCCGGGCUUAACCUGGGAAUGGCAUUUGGGACUGCAAGGCUAGAGUGUGGCAGAGGAGACUGGAAUUCCUGGUGUAGCAGUGAAAUGCGUAGAUAUUAGGAGGAAUACCGAUGGCGAAGGCAGGUCUCUGGGUUAACACUGACGCUCAUGCACGAAAGCGUGGGGAGCAAACAGG